rnacentral:rRNA from 1 species
AGUGAACGCUGGCGGUAGGCCUAACACAUGCAAGUCGAACGGCAGCACAGUAAGAGCUUGCUCUUACGGGUGGCGAGUGGCGGACGGGUGAGGAAUACAUCGGAACCUACUUUUUCGUGGGGGAUAACGUAGGGAAACUUACGCUAAUACCGCAUACGACCUACGGGUGAAAGCAGGGGAUCUUCGGACCUUGCGCGAUUGAAUGAGCCGAUGUCGGAUUAGCUAGUUGGCGGGGUAAAGGCCCACCAAGGCGACGAUCCGUAGCUGGUCUGAGAGGAUGAUCAGCCACACUGGAACUGAGACACGGUCCAGACUCCAACGGGAGGCAGCAGUGGGGAAUAUUGGACAAUGGGCGCAAGCCUGAUCCAGCCAUACCGCGUGGGUGAAGAAGGCCUUCGGGUUGUAAAGCCCUUUUGUUGGGAAAGAAAAGCAGCAGGUUAAUACCCCGCUGUUCUGACGGUACCCAAAGAAUAAGCACCGGCUAACUUCGUG